CCUACGGGAGGCAGCAGUAGGGAAUCUUCCACAAUGGGCGAAAGCCUGAUGGAGCAACGCCGCGUGGGUGAAGAAGGUCUUCGGAUCGUAAAACCCUGUUGUUAGAGAAGAAAGUGCGUGAGAGUAACUGUUCACGUUUCGACGGUAUCUAACCAGAAAGCCACGGCUAACUACGUGCCAGCAGCCGCGGUAAUACGUAGGUGGCAAGCGUUAUCCGGAUUUAUUGGGCGUAAAGGGAACGCAGGCGGUCUUGUAAGUCUGAUGUGAAAGCCUUCGGCUUAACCGGAGUAGUGCAUUGGAAACUGGGAGACUUGAGUGCAGAAGAGGAGAGUGGAACUCCAUGUGUAGCGGUGAAAUGCGUAGAUAUAUGGAAGAACACCAGUGGCGAAAGCGGCUCUCUGGGCUGUAACUGACGCUGAGGUUCGAAAGCGUGGGUAGCAAACAGGAUUAGAUACCCCAGUAGUC
rnacentral:rRNA from 1 species